CAUCACUGUUAAUGUUGAGUAACUAAAGGCUGAAGUGGACAUUUAGAGAGAAGAAGAGAAGAAACAAAUAAAAAUAAAUUCAAUUGUGCCUUCAGGAUCAUAGAUACCUGCCAAAUAAAGUAGAGGACCCUCAGGAUAAAGGCUUGGCAGCUGAAGAUGGCCUGCUAUAAUGGCGGGGGCUCUUCCUCACUCCGUGGAGUCUUUUCCAGGAUCCAGGCCACUGUUGUGGUGAACAUCCGAUUCCAGCGGCAGGCUGUUGAGACCCUCUUUGUGCUGAACAGGGUGUAGAAGAGGAGUGUGAUCUAGGAAGCUACUGGGACUUGCACCGUGGCAUCAGAUGUUUCCACACGCUUUUGUGCCUCAGCAAAAUGCUUGACCACAGACUACACAAUAUCACCAAAGAGGUUGGAAGGAGAUAUUGCCAUGUUUAGUGAUCUUAGCCCUUCAGGUCCACCAGCUUCCCAGUUCAGGUCGAGCUCCUUCACUGCCUUGGCAAGGACCCUGGUGAGUUGCCCAUGGAGGUCUGCAGGGCACCUCUAUGUCAGUAUAAUACGUCGCCACUCCAUCCAGUCCUUCUAAGAGGCUGAGAUGGACAUGGAGUUCUCUUCCACCUGGGCCCCAAAGGAGAUGAAGUCUGGAACGGCCUGAGCUGGGCAGGAGUAGUCAUCCGUAAAAGAGGACCAACGAAUGGGUCGAUGAUGGGGGAGGAGGGUCCACCACUAGUUCGUAGAAUACAGACCGGCAGUUCUUUGCAGUGAGAGCAUUCCAGGUCAGAGAAGGCCGCUUCAGCAUGAAUCCGGCCCAACGUAAAGUCACAGUUCUGAUGGGUAUCUGGCAGGCUUAUGGGGCCUGCACAAAUCCCGCAGAACCAAACUGGCCGACUCGUACACACUUACUCAAUAGAUAGAAGCUGAGAUGGACAUGGUGUUCUCUUCCUCCUGGGUGCCAAGAUACAGAUAAGAGGACUUAAAGGAGACACACAAAACAAGGUGGUAUGACAGAAACUCCCGCACACUACUUGAAAAGUAUUCAGUUAUUCUGAAUUAUUCACUGGAAUCGAUGUCAAUUUUGGGGGAGGAUUUACUGGGCUGAAUAAACAGAUUUUGAGGAAAUAGCUCAUCAUCUGAUGAAUCGAAAACCUGUUUGCUAAUCUUUAACCUGUUUUAUACCAAACAAUACCUUCACUGGAAACUAGAUUUUGCCUUGAUAAAAAAUUAUUUGUUUAAGAAAAAGCAAAGUAGGGAAUGUUGCAACAAGUAGGAUUAAUUUACAGCAUUAUUAACAACAAAUGU